rnacentral:rRNA from 1 species
AGAUUGAACGCUGGCGGCAUGCCUUACACAUGCAAGUCGAACGGUAGCAGGCCUUCGGGUGCUGACGAGUGGCGAACGGGUGAGUAAAGUAUCGGAACGUACCAUUCAGUGGGGGAUAACGUAGCGAAAGUUACGCUAAUACCGCAUAUUCUGUGAGCAGGAAAGCAGGGGAUCGCAAGACCUUGCGCUGAUUGAGCGGCCGAUAUCAGAUUAGCUUGUUGGUGAGGUAAGAGCUCACCAAGGCGACGAUCUGUAGCGGGUCUGAGAGGAUGACUCCG